GAGGCGAGGGUUGGUAGCAGUUGUAGUUGGUGAAACAUUUUUGUUCAACAUUUUGAUUACUUUACUUCUUGUUCUUUGGUGCUUCCAAAAGCUGCUUUUAAACCACACAUUGACCUCACUCAAUAUUGUCUCAAGUAACUUUCUAGUUACAUAACCAUCCGGAAAUAGCGCCAUCAAUACAAAACAAUAAAUAAACUAUAACCUAUGUAAUCAACUGAUACUUCUAAUAUUCGUACGUUAUAGAUGUGUGUAUUUGUGACGUUAUAUAAACAUCUCAACUAGAUAGAAUUCCUCUGCACAUGACACAAACCUCUGUACUGUGUUGGUGAAACACUCGGACACGGUUCGUUGAUCUCGAUACCUUUGCUUUUUGUCUAGCACUUCCAACGUAAUCAAUACAGCCCUGUCAUAGUCAACACACCGAGCAUCAAACAACACAUCAACAAACUGACGUGUACGUAGGACUCACACUCAUUUCUUGUCUACACAGCUUGCUAUUAUUGUCAACAGCUGACUGUAUUGUGUUCUGCUACUCUUGAAACAUUCACAGCUGUUAAGUAGCAGAUGGACCAAACAGAGACAAAACAAGAUCUUUCAAGGGAUCACUUGGCAGACGAGGAGAAACAGGAUAGACAAAAACUAGCAAUUCAUGAGAAAACUAAGGGAAAUCUUCUCUACACAAACAAUCAGUUUGACCAAGCCAUAGAGUCAUACAGCAAAGGUUUACAGUAUGAUCCAACGAAUGCUGUUCUUCUUUCUAACAGAGCACAGGCCUAUAUAAAGCUAGAGAAGUAAGUUUCCAUGUUUAAAUGCCAGACUUUUUCCGAGGACUAAAUUAGUGAAGUGUGUGACGGGCCGUAUCAUUGAAACAAGCAAAAGAAAAUUAUUUUUUUUCAAAACAAAGCUUAUCAAAGGGAAAGAACAGCUUAUUAACGUCAGUAAUCUGAAAGGGGCAGGGUUUAGCUCCCUUUCUGCUAUAUAAAACAAAGUACAUAAUUCGUUCUAAUUGAUUAAUUAAUUGGUUAAUUUUUGGAUCGAUUCGUGUUUCGUCAUCGACUAAGAAUAUUUAUGCAAUAUUUCAAUUUGAUCCGAGAAUAGGAAGUGUGAGACAGAACGUGUCAAAACGUUAUAAGGAGGUUACAUCCAUAUAUACAUCCACAUCUCUCAUUAAGUAGCAUUUAUUCCCCUUAUUUCGA
rnacentral:sRNA from 1 species